rnacentral:rRNA from 1 species
AUCUGCCUAUACGGGAGGCAGCAGUGGGGGAUAUUGCACAAUGGGGGAAACCCUGAUGCAGCAACGCCGCGUGAGGGAAGAAGGUCUUCGGAUUGUAAACCUUUGUUUUUGGUGACGAAAGAAAUGACGGUAGCCAAAGAGGAAGCUCCGGCUAACUACGUGCCAGCAGCCGCGGUAAUACGUAGGGAGCGAGCGUUGUCCGGAAUUACUGGGUGUAAAGGGUGCGCAGGCGGGACAUUAAGUUGGGUGUGAAAUGCCGGGGCUCAACCCCGGAGCUGCAUCCAAAACUGAAGUUCUUGAGUGAA